UAAUAUUAACUUCAGGUUAUUAGCAUAGAACUAAAGGCAGGAACAAUAUUAUCCCCCCGUGUAUUAUGUUUGUACUAUUUGUGUCAAUUUUGCUUGUGUUUCAGUGAUCUUUUGCCUGCAGUUGGGUCAUGCUGUUUGUAUUUAUGUGUUCGAAUCCCUCACCUUGUUUGGGUUCACUGGACAUGCCUGCUUGCUGCGCUUCAUAUCGGAGAUCUGUGUGCCGUCCUCGCUCUUCACCAGCCGCUUCUACAUCUGCUCCGAGAGCGACUACCAGGACCUGCUGCGCAACACGGAUGCCAACCAGACGGCGCUCGACAGGAACAUAGGUACACAGUGCCAACGUUGCCUCCGUCGGCCAUGAAGAGGGUGUACUCUAAACUGCUUACAUUUACAUGCUUCAUUCCAGGUACCUUUUACUUUGGUACCUUUGGCACUGUCCUGAGUCAUCAUCAUCUAUGGUCUGUGCCUUUAUGAAUGAGCGGCAGAGCGGGCACCCCGUUUCUCCCAGCCUCCCAGGUAGUGCGAUGCCUUUACUGGCAAAGGAUGUGCCGAGCACCUGUAUGAGCAGCGACAUCCACCGGUUUAUUUUCGUCCUGCAAAAUGCCAGUGCCCGUUCAUGCUCCCAGCGACAUGAAGAUUUCAGGGCCACGGGUACAUGAAGUCUUUCAAAUUUGAUCAAUGUAUCAGGUACAAAUUGCACCUUAUAGGGGCAAAAUUUGCACAAGCCGGCAUGUAUACCCGUGUUUGUAUCAGGUACAAAUUGCACCUUAUCAGGUACAAAUUUCAAAUUUGAUCAAUGUAUCAGGUACAGAUUUCAGGGCCACGGGUACAAAUUGCACCUUAUCAGGUACCCGUUUUAGAGUGUUUUGUAGAAUACAGAGAAUAUUCAUUUAAAAGAUAAAAUUUAAAGUACGCAGCAGUCUCGUUCCCCUCCGACUGUGGACCCAAGCCUCAAGGUUCUCUAUCUCCAGGUGACCCCUCCGCCUCGAUCCCGUAGGAUUUUCCAGCUGAUUUCUUCGCCAAGCGGCAUGUAUACCUGUGUUUGUGAACGAUUUGGGCUUGCCGCCCGCCGCUUGUGAUGUGAUCCGGUACUUUUUGGUGAAUAUUGCGGAGUGCUAUGCGUACAAAGAAACAUCAUGCGGAGAGCACAAUGGAGCCACAUUCAGUUAUAUGUUACAUAGCUUCUUUUAAAAGGUAAAGGGUAGAUGGAUGAUAA